UGCUUCUAUAUCUUUUUCCUUUAAAAUUUAUUUUAUUUUGCUUUGUGUGUAGGUGUGAGGGUUCUGCUCACAUGUACAUCUGUCUACCACAUGUGUGCCUGCUGUCCACAGAGGCCAGAUGAGGGCAUCAGAUCCUCUAGAAAUGAAGUUACAGACUGCAAUGUACGUGAUAGGCAUCACCCCCAGGUCCCCUGGAAGAAUAGUCAUUGCUCUUAGCAACUGAGCUGUCUUCUCCAGCCACUCCCACCUUUUUCCCCCAAAGAUUUUACUUUUAGUUAUGUGCCUGUUGUGUGGAGGGAUAGGUGUUGUAGUUAUGAAAACCAGAAAAGGGCACUGGACUCCCUAAACUGGAACUGUGGCUCGUUAUGGGAGACAGGAACUGACCCUGAGUCCUCUGUAGGAACAGCACGUGCUCCUAACAGCUGAGCCAUCUCUCCAGUCCCCAUGCCUGUAAACAUUAUAAAUAAUUCCUUACCAUCAUGUAGACCUUAAUUGAUAUCACUGUGGUUUGAGCUGGUCCCAGUGUGAGGUUGACUCUUUAAGGGGCAGAGCCUGGUGGAAAGUGACUAGGUCACUGGGGUGCUGACCUCUGAAGAGAUUAAGUCGUUUUCACUUGACCCUGGUUGGUUUCCAUAGGAACUGGCUGUACAGAAGGCACAACCCUGGCCCUGAACAUCUCCUGCUUCCUCUCUUCCCAUGCUGCCUCCCCCUCCUACCCGGGCUCCCACCAUGGUGCCAUCUGCCACAUUGUGAUGAAGCCAGAAGUCAUUUGCCAAAGCCAGGUAGAGGCCAGUGCCACGCCGUGCCAUGCUUCUGGACCUCUGAAGGCUGCAGGGUCGGUCUUGUGGGGCUGUCGUUGACACUAGGAUCUGUGAGGAAGGCGAUCUUAAAACGAGUAACUACAAGAUUAUGACCAUUCCCUGAACUUGGAGCCUCAUUUUUCUCAGCUGUUUCGGGAUCCAGGAAAUCCUGUGGAUUCCCUUGUCUCUUCUGACAACCUUGCGAUUACCACAGCAAUCAAGACCACACCCAAUUUGUUUCAUGGGUUCUGACACUAUAUCUGGCCUAUCAUGUGUGUGCUGACCUCAUAGCCUGACAGUGUUCCUGAGCAUACACAACCCCAGGAAGAAGCCACAUACCUUGUGGUUGCCAGAAAAGGCCUGGAGAACAUCAACUCC